GGCCGCGGGAAUUCGAUUUCUGGUUGAUCCUGCCAGACCCGACUGCUAUCAGAGUGGGACUAAGCCAUGCGAGUCAACGUAGUAAUACGUGGCAUACGGCUCAGUAACACGUAGUCAACAUGCCCAGGGGACGUGGAUAACCUCGGGAAACUGAGGAUAAACCGCGAUAGGCCAUAAUUCCUGGAAUGGUUUAUGACUGAAACCUACAUGGCCCCUGGAUUGGACUGCGGCCGAUCAGGCUGUUGGUGAGGUAAUGGCCCACCAAACCUGUAACCGGUACGGGCUCUGAGAGGAGAAGCCCGGAGAUGGGCACUGAGACAAGGGCCCAGGCCCUAUGGGGCGCAGCAGGCGCGAAACCUCUGCAAUAGGCGAAAGCCUGACAGGGUUACUCUGAGUGGUUCCCGCUAAGGGGAUCUUUUGGCACCUCUAAAAAUGGUGCAGAAUAAGGGGUGGGCAAGCCUGGUGUCAGCCGCCGCGGUAAUACCAGCACCCCGAGUGGUCGGGACGAUUAUUGGGCCUAAAGCAUCCGUAGCCGGUCAUGCAAGUCUUCCGUUAAAUCCACCCGCUCAACGGUUGGGCUGAGGAGGAUACUACGUGGCUAGGAGGCGGGAGAGGCAAGCGGUACUCAGUGGGUAGGGGUAAAAUCCUUUGAUCCAUUGAAGACCACCAGUGGCGAAGGCGGCUUGCCAGAACGCGCUUGACGGUGAGGGAUGAAAGCUGGGGGAGCAAACCGGAUUAGAUACCCGGGUAGUCCCAGCUGUAAACGAUGCAGACUCGGUGAUGGGAUGGCCUCGAGCUAUCCCAGUGCCGCAGGGAAGCCGUUAAGUCUGCCGCCUGGGGAGUACGGUCGCAAGACUGAAACUUAAAGGAAUUGGCGGGGGAGCACCACAAGGGGUGAAGCCUGCGGUUCAAUUGGAUUCAACGCCGGGAAUCACUAGUGAAUUC
rnacentral:rRNA from 1 species